UACGGGGGGAGCAAGCGUUGUUCGGAUUUACUGGGCGUAAAGGGCGCGUAGGCGGCCACCGCAAGUCAGUUGUGAAAGCUCUGGGCUUAACCCAGAAAGGUCAGCUGAUACUGCGGGGCUAGAGUGCAGAAGGGGCAACUGGAAUUCUCGGUGUAGCGGUGAAAUGCGUAGAUAUCGGAAGGAGCAUCAGUGGCGAAAGCGACUUCCUGGACCAAUACUGACGCUCAUGUGCGAAAGCGUGGGGAGCAAACAGG
rnacentral:rRNA from 1 species